GGUUUCGUAGUGUAGUGGUUAGCACUCCAGACUUUGAAUCUGGCGACCUGGGUUCGAAUCCCGGAGAGACCU
rnacentral:tRNA from 3 species